CUACAAAAUAGUCUUUUAGGGGAAAUUAAUUAGUGGCAAUAAACUAAUGGCUGCAAAAUAAUUUAAUAAACGCAACUAUUAGCGGCAUAUGAGCAUUAGCCGGAAUUAUCUACUUUUUUACUGGCAACAGAAAGCAAUGGCCACUAUGAGCCACAAAUUGGAAGCGCCUUAUAUUAUUUCAUCUUUACCCUCUAGAUUUUCCACUAAAAUAACCUGUUCCCUCCCAUUCCUUUUAUCUAAUUUUAGAGAACUUUGAAAGAUGCUAUUUCAGAAAUACUCAACGCACACAUCGGCGCUGCCCUAUCGCUACUGCUCCACUUCGUCUCUAUCUCACCAUCACCGCGACUAUCCCCAGGAGUCGUUGUUGUUAGACAUCCUUACAUUGGAUUUGCUGGAAUGGAAGAAAUAAAUGAGGCUAAUUCUCGAGGGCCGGCCAACUUUACAGUAUGUAGUCCACUAAAUGAAAGCAAUAUGCUUACUGGUGGUCUAGGGUUGCUAUUCACGAAGCAGUGGAGCAACAAACUAUUUUCAUUGCUAAGGCAGGAAUAACAACAGUCCUUGAUUCAAGAACCUCGGUACUUGCUGCGGCUAAAUCUCCGUCUGGAAGCUAUGAUGAUCUCAAGGUCUAUAUAAUUCCUUUCAAUUGUUUUGAUGUUAUUUUUUAGUUCAAGAACCUCCAUGCUCGCAGCAGCUAACCUUCUCUUUGGAAGAUAUGAUGAUCUCAAGGUCUAUAUAAUUCCUUUCAAUUGUUUUGAUGUUUUACAAAUUUCUGCUACUUGUUUUGGCAAUAUAGCAGGCACUGAUGUACUUACUAUUUGCAUUGCUGACCAGCACAAGAUAACAUUAACUUGUAGACAACAAUUCUUUCAGGAUUUGAUUUGGCAGUAUGUGGUUUUCUACUUAUAAAAGCUUGAGGAAUGAAUAACUUCUAUCGACUUAAUGCUGUACUGUUCCAAUUUUGAUGAGUCAUACAGUCUGAUGUUCGAUAAUUUAGCGGGUGGAAGAUUUCAAUAUGAUGAAGAGUUACGGAAAUUAUUUGAAGACUUUUAUUCGAUAGGAUUGGUUAUAUAGUGACAUUAGCUAUUUAGUUCAAGACAAUAUAGGUUUAUUUUUUAAAUUGUUGUGUGACGUUAAUAUUUUAGAUAAGUACUUCGUUUUGUUUGUUAAGAUUUAAUGAGAUAUGUUUUAUGAAUUAAUAGAAAUAUAUUUUGUUGCUUAGAUCAUUU